UUUUCGGCAAUGGGGGAAACCCUGACCGAGCAACGCCGCGUGAAGGAAGAAGGUUUUCGGAUUGUAAACUUCUGUUAUAAAGGAAGAACGGCGGCUACAGGAAAUGGUAGCCGAGUGACGGUACUUUAUUAGAAAGCCACGGCUAACUACGUGCCAGCAGCCGCGGUAAUACGUAGGUGGCAAGCGUUAUCCGGAAUUAUUGGGCGUAAAGAGGGAGCAGGCGGCAGCAAGGGUCUGUGGUGAAAGCCUGAAGCUUAACUUCAGUAAGCCAUAGAAACCAGGCAGCUAGAGUGCAGGAGAGGAUCGUGGAAUUCCAUGUGUAGCGGUGAAAUGCGUAGAUAUAUGGAGGAACACCAGUGGCGAAGGCGACGAUCUGGCCUGCAACUGACGCUCAGUCCCGAAAGCGUGGGGAGCAAAUAGGAUUAGAUACCCUAGUAGUCCACGCCGUAAACGAUGAGUACUAAGUGUUGGAUGUCAAAGUUCAGUGCUGCAGUUAACGCAAUAAGUACUCCGCCUGAGUAGUACGUUCGCAAGAAUGAAACUCAAAGGAAUUGACGGGGGCCCGCACAAGCGGUGGAGCAUGUGGUUUAAUUCGAAGCAACGCGAAGAACCUUACCAGGUCUUGACAUCGAUCUAAAGGCUCCAGAGAUGGAGAGAUAGCUAUAGAGAAGACAGGUGGUGCAUGGUUGUCGUCAGCUCGUGUCGUGAGAUGUUGGGUUAAGUCCCGCAACGAGCGCAACCCCUGUUGCCAGUUGCCAGCAUUAAGUUGGGGACUCUGGCGAGACUGCCGGUGACAAGCCGGAGGAAGGCGGGGAUGACGUCAAAUCAUCAUGCCCCUUAUGACCUGGGCUACACACGUGCUACAAUGGACAGAGCAGAGGGAAGCGAAGCCGCGAGGUGGAGCGAAACCCAUAAAACUGUUCUCAGUUCGGACUGCAGUCUGCAACUCGACUGCACGAAGAUGGAAUCGCUAGUAAUCGCGAAUCAGCAUGUCGCGGUGAAUACGUUCUCGGGCCUUGUACACACCGCCCGUCACACCAUGAGAGUCGGUAACACCCGAAGCCGGUGGCCUAACCGCAAGGAAGGAGCUGUCUAAGGUGGGACUGAUGAUUGGGGUGAAGUCGUAACAAGGUAUCCCUACGGGAACGUGGGGAUG
rnacentral:rRNA from 1 species